AGUCGACGGCAGCGCGGGGCAACCUGGCGGCGAGUGGCGAACGGGUGAGUAAUAUAUCGGAACGUACCCUGGAGUGGGGGAUAACGUAGCGAAAGUUACGCUAAUACCGCAUACGAUCUAAGGAUGAAAGUGGGGGAUCGCAAGACCUCAUGCUCCUGGAGCGGCCGAUAUCUGAUUAGCUAGUUGGCGGGGUAAAAGCCCACCAAGGCAACGAUCAGUAGCUGGUCUGAGAGGACGACCAGCCACACUGGAACUGAGACACGGUCCAGACUCCUACGGGAGGCAGCAGUGGGGAAUUUUGGACAAUGGGCGCAAGCCUGAUCCAGCAAUGCCGCGUGAGUGAAGAAGGCCUUCGGGUUGUAAAGCUCUUUUGUCAGGGAAGAAACGGUGGGGGCUAAUAUCCUCCGCUAAUGACGGUACCUGAAGAAUAAGCACCGGCUAACUACGUGCCAGCAGCCGCGGUAAUACGUAGGGUGCAAGCGUUAAUCGGAAUUACUGGGCGUAAAGCGUGCGCAGGCGGUUUUGUAAGUCUGUCGUGAAAUCCCCGGGCUCAACCUGGGAAUUGCGAUGGAGACUGCAAGGCUAGAGUUUGGCAGAGGGGGGUAGAAUUCCACGUGUAGCAGUGAAAUGCGUAGAUAUGUGGAGGAACACCGAUGGCGAAGGCAGCCCCCUGGGUCAAAACUGACGCUCAUGCACGAAAGCGUGGGGAGCAAACAGGAUUAGAUACCCUGGUAGUCCACGCCCUAAACGACGUCUACUAGUUGUCGGGUCUUAAUUGACUUGGUAACGCAGCUAACGCGUGA
rnacentral:rRNA from 1 species